rnacentral:rRNA from 5 species
UGUUUCGGCUAGGGGGCCAUCCCGGCUUACCAACCCGAUGCAAACUGCGAAUACCGGAGAAUGUUAUCACGGGAGACACACGGCGGGUGCUAACGUCCGUCGUGAAGAGGGAAACAACCCAGACCGCCAGCUAAGGUCCCAAAGUCAUGGUUAAGUGGGAAACGAUGUGGGAAGGCCCAGACAGCCAGGAUGUUGGCUUAGAAGCAGCCAUCAUUUAAAGAAAGCGUAAUAGCUCACUGGUCGAGUCGGCCUGCGCGGAAGAUGUAACGGGGCUAAACCAUGCACCGAAGCUGCGGCAGCGAACGUAUCACUUAAAGCGAUUCAGCGGGUUACGAUUGACGGAGCGAAGCGACGUCAAAGCGUAUACAAAGUCGAGUCGGUUUAAGGAUACGUUCGUUGGGUAGGGGAGCGUUCUGUAAGCCUGUGAAGGUGUGUCGUGAGGC